AUUUAAAACACAGGAUCCAUCGACAGUAGUUAAAUUGAUAUUUAAAGAUAAAAUGGAAUCCAAAAACACCAAAGAAGUGAAGGAAAAUAAACCUACCUGUCUUUUGAAAGAUGCCCUUUUUUACAAAUGUGUAAUCUCACAGUUCAUAAUUGGAAUAUGUUGUACUAUAUAUGUCACUUACCUACCACUUUUGUCUACUGAACAAUUUGGAGAAGAGGAUAGUGCCGGAACAUUCUUGCUGUCGAUGAUUGGGAUAGGAAGUCUGAUUGGAAGAUUGAUUUUUGGACUAGUUGUCAAUAAAUGGUCCAAGUCUGCCACAUUGGUUUAUGCGGCAUGUGCUGCGGGUUGUGGAUUGUGCUACCAAAUUGUUACCUUUUGUAAUUCAAUACCUCCGAUGUUCGUAGUGACUACAGCUCAAGGUAUAUUUAACGGGGGAUAUUCGACAAUGGGCACAAUGAUGUUUGCACAGAACUUUGGAAUUGAAAGACUCCAUUUAACCUGUGGUAUUGGAUAUACAUUUGCUGGACUAGCAACAUUCGUCGGAUCCCCUUUAGCCGCUAUCAUUAUAGAUUUAUCUGGAAAUAUAGAAACCGCAUAUCUGGUAAACGGCGCAUUGUUCAUCAUUAGUGGACUAAUCAUAAUACCUACAGGCUUUAAACUUGUGUAUGCUCUAAGUAAGAAAAAUGAUAAAUCUGCUUUCUCAUUUAUGAAUGUGUGGACAACGGACGUUGUUUUAUUUAUAUAAAUCAGAAACAUAUAAAACGACUUUACACAAACCUCAACGAUUUUAGCUCAACUAUGCAUGUUGUUU